rnacentral:rRNA from 1 species
CACUGGUCAAGUGAUUGAGCGCCGAUAAUGUAGCGGGGCUAAGGACACCGCCGAAGUUGUGGCAGCAUCACGAUACUGUAAUGGUGUGGUGUUGGGUAGGGGAGCGUCGUGUCGCCAGUGAAGUCGCCGUGUGAACGAGUGGUGGAGGCGUCACGAGUGAGAAUGCAGGCAUGAGUAGCGAAAGACGGGUGAGAAACCCGUCCACCGGAUGACCAAGGGUUCCAGGGCUAGGCUAAUCCGCCCUGGGUAAGUCGGGACCUAAGGCGAGGCCGACAGGCGUAGUCGAUGGACAACCAGUUGAUAUUCUGGUACCGACACACAACCGACAAUACCAAAACACAUNNNNNNNNNNNNNNNNNNNNNNNNCUCCCCGGUCCACCCGUGGCGUCUUCGGAUGUCUGGUUGGUGGGUUGGUGAGGACCUGAGUGUGGAGUCGGUAAGCGUGAGGUGUGACGCAGAAAGGUAGCCAGGCCACGCGAUGGUAGUCGUGGUCUAAGGUCGUAGCAUGUGGGGGUAGGCAAAUCCGUCCCCACACAAGUGUGAGAGCUGAUGGGCGCCCCACAGUGGUGGGGUGAUCUGGUGAUCCUCUGCUGCCGAGAAAAGCAUCGACGUGAGGGUGUGUGUUGCCCGUACCCUAUAACCGACACAGGUGGUCAGGUAGAGAAUACUAAGGUGAUCGAGAGAAUCGUGGUUAAGGAACUCGGCAAAAUGCCCCCGUAACUUCGGGAGAAGGGGGGCCAUCCUGGUGAACGACCCUUGCGGUUGGGAGCUGGUGGUGGUCGCAGAGGCCAGAGAGAAGCGACUGUUUAUUAAAAACACAGGUCCGUGCGAAGAUGUAAGUCGAUGUAUACGG